AGAGUGAACGCUGGCGGCAGGCCUAACACAUGCAAGUCGAGCGGAAAGGCCCUUCGGGGUACUCGAGCGGCGAACGGGUGAGUAACACGUGAGUAAUCUGCCCCUAGCUCUGGGAUAGCUCCGGGAAACCGGGAUUAAUACCAGAUACGACCACUUUAGACAUCUGCUGUGGUGGAAAGAAUUUCGGCUAGGGAUGAGCUCGCGGCCUAUCAGCUUGUUGGUGAGGUAACGGCUCACCAAGGCGACGACGGGUA
rnacentral:rRNA from 1 species